GAGUUUGAUCCUGGCUCAGAUUGAACGCUGGCGGCAGGCCUAACACAUGCAAGUCGAACGGUAACAGAAAGCAGCUUGCUGCUUUGCUGACGAGUGGCGGACGGGUGAGUAAUGUCUGGGAAACUGCCUGAUGGAGGGGGAUAACUACUGGAAACGGUAGCUAAUACCGCAUAACGUCGCAAGACCAAAGAGGGGGACCUUCGGGCCUCUUGCCAUCGGAUGUGCCCAGAUGGGAUUAGCUUGUUGGUGGGGUAACGGCUCACCAAGGCGACGAUCUCUAGCUGGUCUGAGAGGAUGACCAGCCACACUGGAACUGAGACACGGUCCAGACUCCUACGGGAGGCAGCAGUGGGGAAUAUUGCACAAUGGGCGCAAGCCUGAUGCAGCCAUGCCGCGUGUAUGAAGAAGGCCUUCGGGUUGUAAAGUACUUUCAGCGGGGAGGAAGGGAGUAAAGUUAAUACCUUUGCUCAUUGACGUUACCCGCAGAAGAAGCACCGGCUAAC
rnacentral:rRNA from 1 species